rnacentral:tRNA from 1 species
GGGGGAGAAUGAGUGUCUGGUGUGCUCCGCGGUCUUCAAAACCGUUGUAAGAAAGUUUUUCUUUGGUAGGUUCGAUUCCUACUCUUCCUC